GGUGUUGUAGCUCAGUGAUAGAGCACUUGCCUAGCACGUAUGAGGCACUAGGUUUGAUUCUCAGCACCA
rnacentral:tRNA from 1 species